GGGGAUGUGGCUUAGUGGUAGAGUGCUUGCCUGGCAUGCAUGAGGCCUUGGGUUUGAUACCCACUGAGCACU
rnacentral:tRNA from 1 species